rnacentral:rRNA from 1 species
UUUCGACCUGAACUCAGAACGUGAAAUACCCGCUGAACUUAAGCAUAU